rnacentral:rRNA from 1 species
UACGGAGGGUGCAAACGUUGCUCGGAAUUAUUGGGCGUAAAGCGCGCGCAGGCGGUUUCUUAAGUCUGGUGUGAAAGCCCACGGCUCAACCGUGGAGGGUCAUUGGAAACUGGGGAACUUGAGUGCAGAAGAGAAAAGCGGAAUUCCACGUGUAGCGGUGAAAUGCGUAGAGAUGUGGAGGAACACCAGUGGCGAAGGCGGCUUUUUGGUCUGUAACUGACGCUGAGGCGCGAAAGCGUGGGGAGCAAACAGG